CCUACGGGUGGCAGCAGUGAGGAAUAUUGGUCAAUGGUCGCGAGACUGAACCAGCCAAGUCGCGUGAAGGAUGACUGCCCUGCGUGUUGUAAACUUCUUUUAUAAGGGAAUAAAGUGUGGCACGUGUGCCCUUUUGUAUGUACUUUAUGAAUAAGGAUCGGCUAACUCCGUGCCAGCAGCCGCGGUAAUACGGAGGAUCCGAGCGUUAUCCGGAUUUAUUGGGUUUAAAGGGAGCGUAGGUGGGUUGUUAAGUCAGUUGUGAAAGUUUGCGGCGCAACCGUGAAAUUGCAAUUGAUACUGGCAGCCGUGAGUACAGUAGAGGUAGGCGGAAUUCGUGGUGUAGCGGUGAAAUGCUUAGAUAUCACGAAGAACUCCGAUUGCGAAGGCAGCUCACUAAACUGCCACUGACAUUGAUGCUCGAAAGUGUGGGUAUCAAACAGGAUUAGAUACCCCAGUAGGC
rnacentral:rRNA from 1 species